rnacentral:lncRNA from 1 species
GCUUUGGAAACAAUAUCGAUUUUUACUUCCACUUUUUAUUAUUAUUAUUAUUAUUUUAUUUUUAUAAAUCAUAUGUUAUUUAAUCAGACGAAAUUCGAUAAAAAUACAGUUUUUAAAAUAGUUAACAAUUUAUACGUUGUCAGAGAUUUAUUUAUUUAUUUUUUAUUAAACCAAUACACGGAACUCGUGUACUCAUACGAUCACACCAGUAAAGAACCAGACAUAAGAGAUACAAAGAAACAAAAUAAGAUACAUAAACUACAUCACAUCAGUUACACGAGCAUCCGCUACUAAUCAAUUUGUCAGUUUUAUCCAGAGGAAUC